AACGAACGCUGGCGGCAUGCCUAACACAUGCAAGUCGAACGAGACCUUCGGGUCUAGUGGCGCACGGGUGCGUAACGCGUGGGAACCUGCCCUUAGGUUCGGAAUAACUCCCCGAAAGGGGUGCUAAUACCGGAUAAUGUCUUCGGACCAAAGAUGUAUCGCCUUUGGAUGGGCCCGCGUUGGAUUAGCUAGUUGGUAGGGUAAAAGCCUACCAAGGCGACGAUCCAUAGCUGGUCUGAGAGGAUGAUCAGCCACACUGGGACUGAGACACGGCCCAGACUCCUACGGGAGGCAGCAGUGGGGAAUUUUGGACAAUGGGCGCAAGCCUGAUCCAGCCAUGCCGCGUGCAGGAUGAAGGCCUUCGGGUUGUAAACUGCUUUUGUACGGAACGAAAAGCCUUCUUUUAAUACAGGAGGGUCAUGACGGUACCGGAAGAAUAAGCACCGGCUAACUACGUG
rnacentral:rRNA from 1 species